rnacentral:rRNA from 1 species
AACGAACGCUGGCGGCGUGGAUAAGACAUGCAAGUCGAACGCUGGCUUCAGGGUAGCAAUAUUCUGAAGUUGGAGUGGCGCAAGGGUGCGUAACACGUGGGUAAUUUGCCGUGAAGUUGGGGAUAACUUGCUGAAAGGCGAGCUAAUACCGAAUGUGGCUGUUUGGAGGCAUCUCCGGAUAGCUGAAGUUGGGGACCGCAAGGCCUGACGCUUCAUGAUAAGCCCGCGGCCUAUCAGCUAGUUGGUGAGGUAACGGCCCACCAAGGCUAAGACGGGUAGCUGGUCUGAGAGGACGACCAGCCACACUGGAACUGAGACACGGUCCAGACACCUACGGGUGGCAG